AGAGAAAGAGGGGAGGAGAGGGGGAGGACACACUGUCCCCAGCAGUGCUGUGACUUUUGACAUGCUCUGACUUAAUGGAGAGGAAUUUCACAUGGAAAUAGCAGAAGACAUUUGCAGCCAAGAAGAGCCAUUUCCUUUGGUUGAAGCCAAAUUCAGAGGAGAAAGGAACAGAGGCUGCUCAGGGACACCAGGCAGGGAUCUUGAGGAGCCAGUGUCACAGCAGCCGAGGGAGGAGGGGUCCUGCAGGGAAGGCCUCUGGGGCUUAGGAUGCAAGUCUCUUCCAUCUGCACUAGGCUUUGCUGAGCCCUUGUGGCCAUAUCAUUUGAUGUGCACAAUGGCCCUAAUUGACAGGUGUUACUAUCCCAAUCUCAGAGCUCAAGCUUGAGGUCAACUCAGGUCUGUCCGUCUCUCCAUCUUGGCAAGGACAGGAGGAGCCCUGCUCUUCAAAUAGUGUCUCGAUUUUAGGCUUGUGGCGAGAGAAAGCCAUCCAGAAUCCCUCCGGCCUCUUUGGGAGAGCCUCUCCCUAACUGUAUAAAAUUCUAUAAAAUAUUGGAAUACGCCAAAGAGGAGAAGUAAAACAUUCUCCUCACCACCUAGAUCCUGCCAGCACCUCGGUGACUACCUGGCCAAAGUUAUGGCCUCUCCCCAUAACAAAGAAACAAUUUCCGGAGGAUGAGGCCCAGAAAUCAGGAUUUUAAAGAGAUUCCCAGGUGAUUCUAAUGUACAGCCAAGGUUGAGAACCACUGCUCUAGAGCCACUUCCCUGAGCACCAGGUGCAACUGGAGAAAACACCUGUCAGCAUCAGCUGAUCCAGCGGAGACUCUGACCCACUUGGAGAAUGAAAGGCGGAACUACCUGCCCUGUGGCCACCCUCUGAUCUAAGUGGGACAGGAGCCAGCGCCUGAGACAUCCUCUGAUCUUCCAGUGGCUCUUAGGCCCUGAAGGAACGCAAUGCUGGGCGUUCUCCCACAAAUGGGAAAUUUAAAUGAAUUCAGUGAGAUGGGCCUGUCCUUCCUUGCCCCCAAUACCCCUUUGAUAAGCAUUUACAAGACUAGAGAAAUAUAACAAACUCCUUUUAAAAUAUAACAAACUAUUGUAUAAGCAUUUUUUAAAGUUCCUUCCAAUUAUUGAUCAGUGACUGGAAUCUCCUCGCCCUUUGUGAGACCCCAGCUCUCAUGUGUGGCAUCUCUCCAGCGCAGCUCCCUGAGCAGGCCUCCUUGGCAUGCGCGGCUGCCUAUGGUCCCGGCCUUCUGACGGAACCUCACCCAACCCCCUCCCAUCCUCCAUGCCAGUCCGGCCAGGCUAGGCUCCCUCUGUUCCCCUCCAGCAAAUGUUUAUUCCUUUUGCGCCAUCCCCCACUACCACAAAUUGUGCAGUCGAGUUUCCCACAUUUGGGGAAAUUGCAACGGUCAGCACAUGCGGAAUGCAAUAGAUAGGCCUCGCCCUGGGAAAACCACCUACGUGAUCAUGGUGUCUCCCCUACCAGGUAAGUAUGCAAAUGUUUAUCCUUGCCUUUUGUCCAAACCAGGUUCCUUGCCUGCCACCUUCUUACCUCUCCUCACUGCCUCUCAGCCUCUUGGUCCCUUGGCUGUCCUCCCGCAUGCUGCCUUUUCCCUGCUUCUGACUGCCUGGGCCUUCGUUGGAGAAAUUGUUCCUCUGGACACCAGCUUCCUGAGACGAGGGCUUGUCCUCUCGGUGAAACUGCCCCUGAGCUCCCAGCACCAGAAGGAGGUGCUUGGCCCAGCAUUCAAAGCCUUCCUCCAGCCGAGGACCACCCCAAACUACUCUCCUGGCCUCAUCUCCCCUACAGCCCUCCCCAAACUCAGUCACAUGCCUCCAUCUUUUUUUUAAGCCCGCACACCCCAGUCCCUACACAGCACCUGGCACAGAGCAGAUACUCAAAAUAUUUGUGUUGACUUGAAACCACAAAUACUCGUGGAGUUGAAUAAAUAUUGUUCUUUUCAAGGAGUUGAGAGAGAGAAAGAACCACCUGUUGGGAUCCCAUGAAGCUCAGCUUGGCCUUGGUUGAAUGCGCACCCCCACCCCCUGAAGUCUCCCUGAGGCCGAGAGGUAUUGCAACCCUCAUGCAGUCCAGGCCCAGCCGGAGGGUCGAGACCCACAGAGCACGGCCUGGACACAUCGGGCCUGUCUAAGCUGCUGCAAGGGCAGCCGGGAAACUCUCCAGGAAGACGACCUUUGACAAUACACAGAUUGAGCACAAAACUUAUUGUUCCAAUCAGGACACUUUUGAGAGUGAACUGGAAGUUGUGCUGGGAUUAGUCCAGGUAAGCAGGCUGGGUGGUCACUCGGGGCAAUCUGUUCGGUUCUGUAUUCAAACCCUCCUAAGAGUAAACAUAAUAGAGUUUUCCAAACGUAAUGACUUGCUAAAACAAAGCAGCUUAGCGCAAAGAUGGCUUUAUUUUAAAAGCCAAUUGUGUUGUUGAAGAAAAGACUAUGUUCUCGCCCCAUUCUGGCUAUGCUCCGGGGCUGCUUGGGGUAUUGUGCUGAAGAUGUGUAUGUUCCUGGGCCCGGGGUUCUCUGAAAACAGAACAGGAAAGGACGCUGAUGAGAGCGUGACACCAAAACCCUGGAGCCUGCUGAGCCUGGCCGCUGGCUCAGGUGUGGCCGGCAAACCCCACAGAGGGAGACAAGGCCCGGGGCACCCUUGCACCAGCGCAUGUCCUCCGCGCUCAGACCUGCUCCUGUCGGCCCCUCUCCCCAUGGCUGCCCAGGUGCUGAGAGACAAGCAAGCAACGGGGCCUAGACCUGCGGGGGUGGCAGCUCACAUGCCACCUCUGCCUCAAGGCACGCUCGCUCCCACAGGGCAAUCUGUCCCUGGGCAUGCCUCGGCGUCCCCUCUAGUGAACCUCCCCUGGCGGUAAGGGGUUGGAGAGAGUGCACUCUGCACCUGAGUGGUUGACCUCAGAAGCCCCAACUCGUGAGUUUCUAUCGCUGACCCAGCACGAGUAGUAAGGCAUUUCUCUGCCACGGUCUGUGGGCCCAGGGUCAGCGUAUUCUAAGGGGCCUAUGAGUUCUACUUUUUUAAAAGUCAUGUUUUCAUUUUGAUGAAAUUCUUUAAGAAAUUAUUGUGCCAAUUGUUUAGACAAAGCUUCUGUUGUGUGGUGAUAAAUGCAAAUGACUGUCAUUUCCAUAAACUACGACUUGGAUUUCUUAGGCCAGUGUUUUCCAUGCUGGGGUGCCCACAUAUUCUCGAAACCCAAGGGAAUUUUAUCUUGGGUUGCUGGAGGGACACCAGGUUCUGUGUGUCCGGUUAAGGGAAGAAUUUUAUUGUCAGAUAGGCCUGGGUUCAGGUCCUAGCCUCACCCCUAAUGGCUCGGUGUGUUCUUGGGCCAUGGGCUUCCCAGGCCUCCCCCAUCAAAUGAGGUUCUGAGGCUCACGGGAGGCCCUCCAGGACAGGCGCUCCACACGCUCCACACACCAGCUAGCCCUGUUAUCACCUUCUUGUCAUUUCCUUCCUUCCUUGCAGCUUGUUAUCUCUUCGGGAGACAGUGAGAGUGGAAAUUGGAUUACUCUGAGAGUGGGACAGAGUCAGCCCGGCCUGGAUGAGGUCAGCUGCCUGCAGAAGCCGCUUUAAAUGACAGGAUGUUUCCUUUGCCAAAAGCAGAGGAGCAGCCUGGAAAUCUCAUCAAGUCCUGGCCGGAUGUCAAAAAAGCUGAAGCCUUUAUUAGUGCUGUUAAUGAGGAAGCAGCCUGUGGGAGAAGUCCUGGAAAACGGGCCCAUAGGAUAGGUUUGUGGGUCUGCACGGCCCCUCCCUCUGCCCCCCCCCCCCACACCCACCAAGACCUCCCCUCAGGAGGCUGCCGAUUACGAUUCUGAAACCUUGAGAACAUCUGGCUCCACCCCCCAGCCCUGAUUUCACUGUCACCAGCAAGCUCCUGGUUGUCCUUGGCUUCCAUGAAGAGCUUCCUAUAAUGGGAGACACUCCACAGAGUAGCAGCCCCAACACCAGCAACCCCUUUCUGGCUUCUCCAGCAUUUCCUGGGGGUUUGGUUAGCAUGGCUCCAGCUUCCUGGGGAUGCUCAGCCCUGUGAGCACCAACAAAAUUCUGCAUCUGGAUCAUGGCGAUGCCGUUAGGGUAUGAGGAUCUGAUUAAGGAAUCCACCAACCUCCUGUUGUCCAUUAGUUUUUAGUUUUAUUGGCAGGGACUCCCCAGUAUUCAUACCUCCAGAUAAAGACUGCACUACCCCACACUACAGCUGGCAACUCUGGAACAAGAUCCUGCAGGCAAGCGCCUGGGCCACCCUCUCCCAGCCACUGCCCAGCUUCCCCUGCCCUCCUUCCCCCAGGGUAGGUCCCUUUCCUUACAGGCGGGAUUUAAAUUCCUGUCUCCCAACUACCUCAAAUCUGGUUAUAUACCAGCAAGUUUGAGAGACUUUCAGACUGUGUGCAGGCUGGAAACACCAAAGCCAUGAAAAUUAAAACUGUCUUUUAGCAUUAAAAAAAAAAAGGCCACUGUUCAUAAACUCCAUGUUAUGCUUUUGAGAUCUUCCUUGGUCUUCCCUGGGUCUUUGAGGCCCGCACACUCCCAGAAUCUACCUGCUUUAUAUCUCUAAGUGGACUUGUGCCUCUUCCCUGUCUCCUGAGUCCUUAAGGGCAGGAUGAUUGCUCAUGCCCUCAUGGUCUCCUUGGGUUCAAUAAUAAUGUUUCUGCUCUUCCUUUUUGCUCUUAGAAGCCACACACACAAAGAAAGACAGUUCUGGAUGGAGAGGGCAGCCACUUGUCCACUGCCUGCUUCAAUUCAUUAAAGGCGUUUCCCCACAAAGCACCCAGGUCAUAGCAUGGAUGUCUAAUCACUGUGCUGGCUCCUCUCAGCUGGACCCAUAAUGCAGCUGCAGUCUUCAGGAGCCACCUGGGCCUGAACCUGGCCCAGGGCUUGCCAGAAUACUUACCGAACAAGCAGGCAAGAAUCGAGGUACUUUGGAUCGAAAACAAGAAGUAACGGAACUUGCUGAAGAUGAAUCAGUGUGACAUGGUAGAAAAACUGGAUUGGGGCUUGGAAGAUCUUAUUCAUGUGUGCCCUGGCACACGUCAUUGUGAAAUGGGAAAAAUACCUGCUUUAUCUACUUUACCUGCCUGUGGGAUGACUGUGAAGAUGAAAGGUUAAGUGACUGUAAAAGUCUCCUGAGCCCCUCCCACACUGGCAUGCCUCAAUCCAUACUUGUCCCUCUGUUAAUAGUGGCUUGCACUCUGAGCUGUUAGCUGUAUAAAACACGCUUAUUCUUUCAUAUAACUGUAAUAAAUGGUAUCUAAGUACAAACAAGUAUUCACAGCAACUUACUGACAUAAGUACAAUGCCAUGAGAUUGACAUAAGUGGAUGGACACAAUUUUAAAGACAAACAUCCCAAGAGAAAAAUUAGCAAAAGGCAAAUUCACAAAGAGGAAAUACAAUUGUUCAAUGAGGAGUGGGAGGGUUUAACCUUAUUAAUAACCAAAUAAGUUUUCAUUAAAACAAUAAGAUUCUUUGGGGAGGGGGUCUAGAAAAUUAACCAAGGUAAAAAGAAAGAAGGAAAAAAGGAAGGGAGAGAGGAAAGGAGAGAGAGAGAGAGAGAGAGAGAGAGAGAGAAUAUGGAAGGACACCAGCAUGGACACUCAUACAUAAUUCUGGUGGAAGUAUAAAUGUGAUUGCCUUUCUGGAACACAAUUUCGCAACCUAUGAAAUAAGUUAAAAAUAUAUAUACCUAUCCAAAUGGAGAGAAAGAAGAGAGAGACUGGUUACAAGACUGUUGCAGAAAUCCAGUACCAGUUAAAAAUGUGGAUUUUGUAAUCAAAGAAAACACAAUAAUUUUAAGAGAAACAUCAAAAAUGCUUUAUUCACAGUAAUGUCCAUCGCUAGCUACACAUUUCCCCCAUCU